rnacentral:tRNA from 1 species
GAGAGGGUCUAAGACCUGCUAAUUCUUCACUCUGGUAUAAUACCCAGCCCUCUCU